rnacentral:lncRNA from 1 species
UUCUUCCUGCCUUCUCUCAAAGGCACAACCCAAUUUUCUUUAAAGUUAUUCACCCCUAAAUUCUACAAAGCCCUGCCCCAUUUUAAGUAUGGUAGCCCCUGACUACUGAUACCCUGUCCAAGUGACGUAGGGCCCCGUAACGUAUGUCAAGGCUUUGCCUAAAUUCGUUGGGGUUCUGUCUCGUGACGUAGGGAUAAAGUAGAAUUGGGUUACUAUACUUGAUGUGGGUACACUAUAUAUUUUAUUAAAUAAUCCAGGAGUUGUACCCAAAAUAUAACAAACCUCCCGAAUAUUUUUCUGACACCCUACACUUCCUAAAAUACACCACAUAUGUGAAAACCGAGCCCGAAAUAUAAUAUAGCAUUAAAAAUAAGUGAAAAACAAGAAAUAGUAAGUUGAGGCGGGCCGCGUAGACCCACCCCAACCAUUCACGCGGGCCGUAUGAAGGUGUAACCGGAUUCCUUUGAUUUCUUAAGUCCAGGCGGGCCGCGUAAGGCCACACCGUUAGUUUACGCGGGCCGCGAGUGUCCCGAUUCGUGGCGCAGCCCGGUGAUGACACGUGUCAUCAUCGUGGCAGGUCUAGAGGAUGAGCCGGACAAGCUAGUCCGUUGACCAGGGUUGACGCGGGCCGCGUGACCCCUGUCCUUUCUUUACGCGGGCCGCGUGGGAACCAGAAUCAGCACCUAUAUAAGCAGGCAUCGGGUUUUAGUAUUCCUCGUUCAUUUCUUUUCUUUCUAAACGAAUUCUGAAGUAGUAGAAGUGAUACGCGGGUAUUAUACCCCCUAAUUAGCGAAGCUCUGCCUCGUUACUAUAACCAAGGAAUCACAAAGGAAAGCCUUAUAAUAGCAAUGUAACUUAGUGUAAAGCCAAUAGAAGCCAGCUGGAGAGCACUGAAGGCUUGGAAAAGUGGCAAUAAAGUUACCUAAAAUAAAAUAGAUGUUUUUAUUAAAUAAAAUAGGAUUUAUUCCUAUGAAAAUGUAUGUACUGAAAAACUUGGGUUUUAUCCCAUGUGUUUAAUAUAAUGAAAAGAAGGUGGUUUUACUCUGAUAAAAUAUUUCCUAACUACGGUCCUGAUAAAAAAUUCCGCUGCCAAAUAGACAAUACGCGAUACCACCGAAACUGGCUCACGGCCGCCCGCUCCUGAGGGAUCGGGGGUUGUGACAGUAUGUAUGUAUGUAUGUAUGUAUGUAUGUAUGUAUGUAUGUAUGUAUGUAUGUAUGUAUAUGUUGUAUGUAUGUAAGUAGGUAUGUAUGAACGUACGCGAGUAUGUAUGUACGUAGGUAGGUAUGUAAGUAUGCAUGUACGAAUGUAUGUACGCAAGGUUUCAAUAUGGUUGAAUAUUGAUAUUAUUAACAAUGUACCUUGAGAAUGAAGAGUAAUGCAGGUACAAUAUUGUAGUCUCACCAAGGGUUUUGAUGCUCGGAUGGAAUGCUUAAAUGUAAAAAGAUGUCUGAAUGAAGAGUUGUACGAGACACGAAGAAUCAUCGAGGAGUAGAGAUCGAAGACCGAGUCACAAGUUAGAUUGUACGGGAACGUUGAUGUAUGUAAUAUAGUAAACAUAAGUUAUGUUUUUAUUUAGUAAAUGAGUCGAUUGAUGAACUUAUGUAAAAGAGUUAUUUUGGAAAUGAACUUUAUAGUAAGUCAAAACGUUUUUAAUGAAAGAAUUUUAUG